AUAUCCGUGUUUCUUGUGAGAGAUUUGAUUAGGGAUGACGUUGAGUUUAGUGCGUUUAUUUUUUGUGUGGACUAUGUGGGUGAUGAUGACGUUAUUAUUAUUAAAUUGUGUGGUGAGCGGGAGGGCAAGCAUAUUAGGUUGGAUGGAAGAUGAGAGAGUUGGGCUGCUUAACCUCAAAGCCGCCUUCAACUUCUCCGAUGGGACUGCUAUUCCCUUGUGGCGCGCCAAUCACCUGCCGAUAACGUUGCCAAUACUAUGCGGGUGGCUGAGGUCAACCUCUAUCUAUGGCGCACGAGAUUAUAAACUCCCGCAGCCAUAGUCUCUGGAUGCAUCCUUGUUAAUUCCUUUUUUUAGAGGAGCUACACGGUUUUACAAACACCUUGAGAUUGAAGAACCUAUGCUCACUAGUUUUAAGUGAUAAUCACUUGAAGCAAGUUCCGGACUUGAAUGCGCUACCUUCUCUCACGGAUUUAUUUUUGAGUUAUAAUCCACUGACGAACUUGAAUCAUGUUAAAAGGUACGUAUGGUUGCUUUCACUGACAUAUAUAUAACUAGACUAUUUCUACACUACCGAUCUUCCCGAUCUUUAGGGAGGCUCAAGUGCAUGAAUCUGUCCCUUUCACACAGAGAGACAUAUAAAAGGAUCAAAGGCAGUUCAAUGAAUCUGUCUACCAUGACAAAUAUAGUCGUAAGUAUAUGGUAGGAAACCUGUAUAAAGUGUGAGAAAAUAUAUAUAAUUCCUUUGAUUAUUCAUGCAGUUGUAUCGUGCUAUGUGUAUAUUCACAUCGACGCCGCAUUAAGAAAAUCUUGUAAGUGGCCCUACGUACCUCGUCACAUUGAUGUAAUGAAAAAGAACUAAUUAAAUUGUUUUAA